rnacentral:rRNA from 1 species
AUUGAACGCUGGCGGAAUGCUUUACACAUGCAAGUCGAACGGCAGCACGGGGGCAGCCCUGGUGGCGAGUGGCGAACGGGUGAGUAAUACAUCGGAACGUGCCCGGUCGUGGGGGAUAACGUAGCGAAAGUUACGCUAAUACCGCAUACGAUCUGAGGAUGAAAGCGGGGGACCUUCGGGCCUCGCGCGAUCGGAGCGGCCGAUGUCAGAUUAGGUAGUUGGUGGGGUGAAGGCCUACCAAGCCGACGAUCUGUAGCUGGUCUGAGAGGACGACCAGCCACACUGGGACUGAGACACGGCCCAGACUCCUACGGGAGGCAGCAGUGGGGAAUUUUGGACAAUGGGCGCAAGCCUGAUCCAGCCAUUCCGCGUGCAGGACGAAGGCCUUCGGGUUGUAAACUGCUUUUGUACGGAACGAAAAGGCUCUGGCUAAUACCUGGGGCUCAUGACGGUACCGUAAGAAUAAGCACCGGCUAACUACGUG